UUCUCAGCCUUUUGGCUAAGAUCAAGUGUAGUAU
rnacentral:snRNA from 1 species